rnacentral:rRNA from 1 species
GUCGAGCGAAUGGAUUAAGAGCUUGCUCUUAUGAAGUUAGCGGCGGACGGGUGAGUAACACGUGGGUAACCUGCCCAUAAGACUGGGAUAACUCCGGGAAACCGGGGCUAAUACCGGAUAACAUUUUGAACCGCAUGGUUCGAAAUUGAAAGGCGGCUUCGGCUGUCACUUAUGGAUGGACCCGCGUCGCAUUAGCUAGUUGGUGAGGUAACGGCUCACCAAGGCAACGAUGCGUAGCCGACCUGAGAGGGUGAUCGGCCACACUGGGACUGAGACACGGCCCAGACUCCUACGGGAGGCAGCAGUAGGGAAUCUUCCGCAAUGGACGAAAGUCUGACGGAGCAACGCCGCGUGAGUGAUGAAGGCUUUCGGGUCGUAAAACUCUGUUGUUAGGGAAGAACAAGUGCUAGUUGAAUAAGCUGGCACCUUGACGGUACCUAACCAGAAAGCCACGGCUAACUACGUGCCAGCAGCCGCGGUAAU